rnacentral:lncRNA from 1 species
GUUGAUUAGAAAUCAGUUACUUCUUUGAGAUCCUUUCAGGUUUCACAGACAGAGGCCAGUUAGUAGGUCUGAUGCUGAAUCAGGACUCUCAGAGCAUGAAAAUCUUUAGAUUUAGGGCACUUUUUAUGAUUGCAAUAGUUGAUUCAAACAUUGGAAUUAGUUAAAGAAAGAUAAAAUCAUAUCCAAAGAAAAUGAAAUAUAAAAGUAAAAAAAGUGGACAAGAAAAAAUAUUUAGAAGGGCAAACAGUUUUUGAAGAUCCAGAGAGUGAUGAGAAGCAGAUACAUAAUGUUUUAUGCUGUAUGCAUUAAAGCUAAUGGGAGGGGGUGUGGGUAUGCCUAUUCAUAAGAAUAAUGUGGUAAUAGUCCAAUGAAACUUCUGCUUUCUCUGAUACCACAGAUCUGAGAUUUGAGAUCUGAUACCACAAAUGCCUUAAUGUGGCUGGCAUUCAUGAGAAGGUAUGCAACUAUUGUUGAAAUAUGAAGAACUCAGAAUGUCAAGAGAGAAGAGGCAUGGAACAGUUCUGGGAACACAGCACUGAUAAAACUCUUAGGGAUGAAUUUACCUAUACCUGUGUUUCAGCCUUGUGAUCUGAUGGAAGCUGAGGAAUGAUGAAGACAAUGGAAUCAAAGGCAAUUGAUCCCGCCACAUUUGAAGAACCACAAAAGGAGGCUGAGUGAGCUGAAAGAAAUACACAAGUGGAUCAGCAACAUGACAGCUGCUGCAGUGAAAUCUGGAUUGUAAUAUGUCAGUUUCCAACCCAUCACAUACAAUCCAGACAGAGACAUAGCUUUUUGUCUGCCUCGUUGUGAUUUCCCUGUCUGGUGCGGUUUGGGUCACAUCUGUUGGCUGCAUUCUCAUCUUCAUGAGAUCUGCAUUGACUGAUAGUUUAAACCCCAUGUUUAUCUAUGUCUGCGGCUCUUAUUUCUCUCACAGGGAAGUCUCCAGAGAAGCCCAGUAUCCCCUGAUGUGAGAAUCUUGCUUGGUUUUAUUAAUCAACAGCCAGUGCCCACAUUCAGGCAGUUCUGUAUGUUUCAUGCUAGGAUAUUGGGUGUGUUUGUUACAUAUGUCUUUCAACAUUUAUUAUAUCAGAAAAAAUUUGAUAAAAACAUAAACCUACUUCCUGAAUAUAUCACACUGAUUUAAAACAGAACUUCUCACGAUGAACAACCCAAGCUCACUGUUUCUUUGACUUUUGCAUAUUUUCUACUCGUGCAUUAUUCUGUCAUUUCAUGAUAAAAUGAUUGAAAAACACUGCUUUAACCCUCCAAACUUGGCUAGUGGCUAUAUAAGGAUUUAAACUUCAGCAUGCCUGUCUAUGCUCAAGCCUUGGAAAUCCUUUUGCAUUUCAACCAUUGCUAAUGUUUCAUAUCUGCACAUUGAAUCUAACCCUUGAUUUCUUUUGUAGACAUAUGUAAUCUGAAGGCAUGCAACAUUUUGCAAAUGUUGGCCCAUAUUUUUAUUUCAUAAGGUCUUAUUUGGUCUGUCGACCAAGUUUUGAUUACUUCCAUAUUGCUCUUAAUUGCCUUAAUAUCCCCAAAGACUUUCCUAUUCUGUGCAUCCCUUUAUCUUUGCUUCUUUUAUCUCUUGCUGUGAGAGUACAAAAUUGCUGACAUAUUCAAUGUAUUUAAAUUCUGAGUGUUGCAGAAGAGUUUUCAAAUCUGUUUUAAUUUUCUGAUACUCAGCUGAGGACCAUUACACAUUCUGUUCAGCUAAUCUGUUUUUAAUCAUAUCUGUAAAUGCUAAAGUUGUACAUGAGAGAAAUGAUGCAUAAAGUAAAACCAGACCAAGUGUACUUUCGCAUAUGUAAAACUAAAUUCUUACUUUCUUCCACUUACAAGUUUUAUUUUCCUAUAGUCGUGUAGUCUUGACUUACACCAGAAUUUAUCUGCCAAGAGUUUAUGGUACUGUAGUGAAAAAAUCCCGACUUUUUCAUGUUUAAAAUAUUUAUCGAUUAGUACUUAUCCCCUUGCUAUCAUAAUAAAAUUUGAUGAACGUAAAUGUACUUUUAAUUCCAUUUCAUAAUGUAUCAGCUAAGAUAUAUUCAGUCAUAAAUAACUAAUAAUUGCAUUAAUAGUGGUAUUGGCCAUAAAGACAGUUGCUAACUUAACAUAAAU